rfam:Streptomyces acidiscabies strain NCPPB 4445 genomic scaffold scf_64481_86.1, whole genome shotgun sequence.
CCCGGCCCGACUCCUCCCCCCCCGAGUAGGGCCGUGGAGACGACCCCCACUCUCCCCCCCGGUGGGGGUCGUCGCAU